rnacentral:rRNA from 1 species
UACGUAGGGGGCAAGCGUUGUCCGGAUUUAUUGGGCGUAAAGAGCGUGUAGGCGGCUGGGUAGGUCCGCUGUGAAAACUCGAGGCUUAACCUCGAGACGUCGGUGGAAACCAUCCAGCUAGAGUCCGGAAGAGGAGAGUGGAAUUCCGUGGUGUAGCGGUGAAAUGCGUAGAUAUCGGGAGGAACACCAGUGGCGAAGGCGAGUCUCUGGGAUGAUACUGACGCUGAUGCUCGAAAGCUAGGGGAGCAAACGGG